UGUUGAGGAAGAUAAUGACGGUACUCAACAAGGAAGUGACGGCUAACUACGUGCCAGCAGCCGCGGUAAAACGUAGGUCACAAGCGUUGUCCGGAAUUACUGGGUGUAAAGGGAGCGCAGGCGGGAGAACAAGUUGGAAGUGAAAUCCAUGGGCUCAACCCAUGAACUGCUUUCAAAACUGUUUUUCUUGAGUAGUGCAGAGGUAGGCGGAAUUCCCGGUGUAGCGGUGGAAUGCGUAGAUAUCGGGAGGAACACCAGUGGCGAAGGCGGCCUACUGGGCACCAACUGACGCUGAGGCUCGAAAGUGUGGGUAGCAAACAGGAUUAGAUACCCUGGUAGUCCACACCGUAAACGAUGAUUACUAGGUGUUGGAGGAUUGACCCCUUCAGUGCCGCAGUUAACACAAUAAGUAAUCCACCUGGGGAGUACGACCGCAAGGUUGAAACUCAAAGGAAUUGACGGGGGCCCGCACAAGCAGUGGAGUAUGUGGUUUAAUUCGACGCAACGCGAAGAACCUUACCAAGUCUUGACAUCCCUUGACGAUGCUGGAAACAGUAUUUCUCUUCGGAGCAAGGAGACAGGUGGUGCAUGGUUGUCGUCAGCUCGUGUCGUGAGAUGUUGGGUUAAGUCCCGCAACGAGCGCAACCCUUAUGGUCAGUUACUACGCAAGAGGA
rnacentral:rRNA from 1 species